rnacentral:rRNA from 1 species
CUAAGCCAUGUGAGUCGUUGCAGCAAUGCAAGGCAGACGGCUCAGUAACACGUAGUCAACCUAACCUAUGGACGGGGAUAACCUCGGGAAACUGAGAAUAAUACCCGACAGAUCAUGAUACCUGGAAUGGUUUAUGGUUCAAAUGAUUUAUCGCCAUAGGAUGGGACUGCGGUCUAUCAGCUUGUUGGUGAGGUAAUGGCCCACCAAGGCUAUAACAGAUACGGGCUCUGAGAGGAGGGGCCCGGAGAUGGGUACUGAGACACGGACCCAGGUCCUAUGGGGCGCAGCAGGCGAGAAACCUUUGCAAUGUGCGAAAGCACGACAAGGUUAAUCCGAGUGAUUCCUGCUAAAGGAAUCUUUUGUUAGUCAUAAAACCACUGAUGAAUAAGGGGUGGGCAAGUUCUGGUGUCAGCCGCCGCGGUAAAACCAGCACCUCGAGUGGUCAGGAGGUUUAUUGGGCCUAAAGCAUCCGUAGCCGGCUGUUCAAGUUUCCGGUUAAAUCCACACGCUUAACGUAUGGGCUGCCGGAAAUACUGUUCAGCUAGGGAGUGGGAGAGGUAGACGGUACUCGAUAGGAAGGGGUAAAAUCCUUUGAUCUAUUGAUGACCACCUGUGGCGAAGGCGGU